rnacentral:rRNA from 1 species
UACAGAGGGUGCGAGCGUUAAUCGGAAUUACUGGGCGUAAAGCGUGCGCAGGCGGUUUUGUAAGCCAGAUGUGAAAGCCCCGGGCUUAACCUGGGAAUGGCAUUUGGGACUGCAAGGCUUGAGUGCGGCAGAGGAGACUGGAAUUCCUGGUGUAGCAGUGAAAUGCGUAGAUAUCAGGAGGAAUACCGAUGGCGAGGGCAGGUCUCUGGGCUGACACUGACGCUCAUGCACGAAAGCGUGGGGAGCAAACAGG